rnacentral:rRNA from 1 species
AGUGAACGCUGGCGGUAGGCCUAACACAUGCAAGUCGAACGGCAGCACAGUAAGAGCUUGCUCUUACGGGUGGCGAGUGGCGGACGGGUGAGGAAUACAUCGGAAUCUACUUUUUCGUGGGGGAUAACGUAGGGAAACUUACGCUAAUACCGCAUACGACCUACGGGUGAAAGCAGGGGAUCUUCGGACCUUGCGCGAUUGAAUGAGCCGAUGUCGGAUUAGCUAGUUGGCGGGGGAAAGGCCCACCAAGGCGACGAUCCGUAGCUGGUCUGAGAGGAUGAUUAGCCACACUGGAAGUGAGACACGGUCCAAGCUCCUACGGGCGGGACCCGUGCGCAUUAUUGGACCAGGGGCGCGAACCUUUUGCCGCCAUACCACGUGGCUGAAGCAGCAAUUCGGGUUGCACAGUCAUUUUGUUGGGAAAGAAAAGUACCUGGUUAAUACACGGAUGUUAUGACGGUACCAAAAGAAUAAGCAACGGCUAACUUCGUG